AUAUGUGCUUUAUCAAGUCGUAGUCAAAAGCUAAACCGGCAUCACAGGUCACUGGUACUAUAUUUUUGUAUGUGUAUGACAAGAGUAAGCGAUAUGUAUUGGCUUAUAGCAAACUUAACUCGUAAACUUAUUCUACACCCUGACCAAGACGUGAACUGGCUAAAAAGUAAGACAUUUGUCAUAUAUAUUUUCAAUGGCUAUUCAAACUUUUUCGCUUAGUUUUAAAAAUGGAAUUUCAGAAUGGUUAAUUUAUUGUCUUGGAGAAUUCACACAUGCAUUAAAUUGGUAAUUAGAAGGGCAUCUGACUGGCGUUGUUGCGGAAUUUUGAUCAGUCAUCGCACUUUAGCCUAUCUACCAAAUGCACACACGUAUUUUACUUAUGUUCCCGAUGAUAAGCGCAAAUAGACAGAACAAACAAGCACUUGCUAACAAUUAUAAAUGAUUAGAUCGUUUUUUGUAGCGUUCACUUUGGACAGUUCUCUAACAGUAUAUUUCGUAUUCGCUUUUGCUACUAUACGCAUACGCCAAACUGAACACCUUUUCACAUAAUGAAUCGCUUGCCGUUCAAACAUCGAAGCCAAGUUAAAGUAAUGUGAUGUAAAGACCAGCCAGGCGGCUACUGUGCGGAGUUAUUAUCACGAUUCUCAGUGACUCGGCAGUGCAGAUGGCUUAGUGGAUUUAGUAAACGCACCACCUUGUUCCACCUUUGGAACCAGCACCUGCAGACAGAACUGGCGCAAAUUCGUUCGGAUAGGCUUUUAUCUAAUGAGCAAUGAAUGAGCUCUGCACUACAAAAAUAUUGAGAACAAAACAAUACUAAACUAUACAGAUUUUCUGUAAGUUAUACAUAAUGGUUAUAACUCACCCACA